AGUAUUUGACGUAUUGCAAUUUAGAGGUAGUGUGUAUAAAAGCACCACAGUAUCAUAACAAAUAAAAUAAAACGUCGAAAAUUGUCAUUCGUUGUCUUGUUCUCGGUGCGAUGUGAAGAGCGAUCGAUGAUAUAAAAAUAUAUUCAACAGGCGUGAGGAAAAAAAAUCGUGUGUGAAACCAAGGAGAAUUGGCGAAAAAUUGUGUAAACAAUAUUUCGUGGCACAAAUCAUUGGUAUCGAAAGGGAUCAGUUUGAUAUGGAUCAAAUUCGGAGCACCAUUCGCAACGUAAGUGGGAAAUGUUUGUGUUUUAUUAGUCUGGCCGUACAGAAGGUCACAUUCUAUCAGAUUUGGCACAACACAUAUACAGCAGAUUGUUCCGAAUACGUCAUACGAUGAACAUGUGUGUUUACAUUUUGUUGUUUUCAUGCUACAUAUUUGGUAUUGAAUUCGAUUCGUGGCUGUCAACAAAGUUGGCUACGCUCUGAUAUACGUUGUUUGAGUGUGGAAAACGCAAUACGGAAUCGUUGGCAUACGCAUACAAUAGUUUUUUUUUUUGGAGCGUUCGAAAUGAUGACCAGUGAUCGCAGCUAUUUGGCUUGAAUGGAUUUGCAUUUUUUUAAAAAGGUAGUAUCAGCAGGUAUUUUUCAAGAGUUUUUUUUUUAAAUAAAAACAAACAAAUCAAACAUAAAUGACCAAAUCAGCGGACCAAUCGAAUUUUUUUUCGUGUCUUUUUUUUAUAUCAACUAAAGGCAAUUUGAAACAUUGAAUUCAUUUGCUGUUUAUUCGAUUUUGAAAGCAGCUAUUGCAUUUAAAUGGGUGUCUUUUUGCAUUAGUUGUGUGCCACUUUGUACAAUUUACCAUUUUUGGGCAAAUUGGUGCAAUUAAGUGCAAUAUAUGUUUUUUUUUUCUCUUCUUUUUUGCGCAUUGAUUCGUGUCAGUUUUGACACUACCAAGGUAAGUAUCAAUUUUAUUGGGAAUUUUC